CCUACGGGGGGCAGCAGUGGGGAAUAUUGCACAAUGGGCGCAAGCCUGAUGCAGCCAUGCCGCGUGUGUGAAGAAGGCCUUCGGGUUGUAGAGCACUUUCAGCGGGGAGGAAGGCGGUGAGGUUAAUAACCUCAUCGAUUGACGUUACCCGCAGAAGAAGCACCGGCUAACUCCGUGCCAGCAGCCGCGGUAAUACGGAGGGUGCAAGCGUUAAUCGGAAUUACUGGGCGUAAAGCGCACGCAGGCGGUCUGUCAAGUCGGAUGUGAAAUCCCCGGGCUCAACCUGGGAACUGCAUUCGAAACUGGCAGGCUAGAGUCUUGUAGAGGGGGGUAGAAUUCCAGGUGUAGCGGUGAAAUGCGUAGAGAUCUGGAGGAAUACCGGUGGCGAAGGCGGCCCCCUGGACAAAGACUGACGCUCAGGUGCAAAAGCGUGGGGAGCAAACAGGAUUAGAUACCCUAGUAGUC
rnacentral:rRNA from 1 species